UCUCGUGCAAAAAUACAGUAAAACUUUGUACCAAAAUAGUAUCCGAUAAUGUUGAAAGCCACAAAGUUAUGUAUUUAUUGUUCAUUUAAAGAUACACCACCCAUCUCCUCUCAUUUGCCAUACAGAACAGAACACCGGCGAUGGAGAGAGAGAACCAUGUUUGAGAGAGAGAGGUAGAGCGUUGCGAGAGUAGACAUAGAAAGAGGGAGCCAACGAUCGAAGAUUAAGAAGGCGACGACGGUGGUUCUGUUUUUGGCGAUGGCGGUGACUUCAAGUAACGAAGACCGACUAGGGUUCAAGCGACAUUCCGGCUACCCCUUUUUACACUUUUCACUCUCCUCUUUCCAUCCAGUAUCAAGUGUGUUGAUUAUAUGUUGGAUAUUAUUCUGAUUUGGUUGUUAAUUUUGCUAAUACACUACCGUCAUAUGUGGAUCAUAUGUAUUUUAGUUGUCAUCUUUGCUUACAUUAUUGGGGAUCUUGCGAAUUAUAGACGAUUUUAGGUUCCGAUCUCAAGUCUCAACAUCAUGCAAAUUAACUCUCUAAUUUCAGGGUUUUUGUUGUUCGCGUUAUGAUUGGUUCACCAGGAGUGGGGUUCAUGCCGCAUAUCCUUGAUGUUGCUGGAGAGGUUCAACCUUGACCCUUUAAUGUUUCUUUCUUUGGUAUAGUUUGUUUAUGUUUUUUUUACUACUACAUUUGUAUGGUAAUAAUUGAUUCAGACCAAGACUCUAACACCGGGCCUCUCUCUGUAUUGAUGAUGAGUGUCAAGAAUAAUACACAGGUAGUUAAAGGUUCAAGGUGCAACCAACAAUAUACUCAAUGUGGAUGCAACUCGGAGUGUGGAAAGGAUUGCCCCUGCUUAAACAAUUCCCCUGCUGUGAAAAGUAUUGUGGGUAUGUAUUAUGAGUUUAAGAAGUGAUGUCAGCAUCGUUCUUUUAAGAGACAUACAUGCGCACCCAGUUGAACAUGCCAUAUGUUACUAAAAUCGAUGAUAUAAUACAAAGUAACUGGUGGAUGGUUGACAUAUUAAGACAAAGCUUGCGUAUCAUCAGUUACAACAACAACGACAGGAAGAAGAAACAACUUAGGUGACUUCCAUUUCACUUGGAUGUUGUGCUAAUAUGGCUUUUCUGGAUGUUAGUAUCCCAGCUCUACCCAGGGCUGCUGCAUGUACAACUUUGUUUCAACUACAAUUUCUCUUGCAAAAUGUUUGACAAAGCCUAGCAUUUACAUUCCUAUCAAGAUACAAAAGUUAAUGUUUGAGAUCAAGUCUUUCAAAUAAACAUGAAUUUGAGCGAGAAUUGGAACGGUCUCGGUCUGGUGCUUACGAAAGCUUUGAAACAAAAUUGUUUUGAGAAUGGUUCAGGUACCUUGGCUGCUACAGUUGAAGAAACGUAGGCGAUGUCUUAUUUGCGGGUUAGACACCGUUCCGGGGUACUGGCGCAAUAUGGGUCAAGUUGGGUAGUGCAACUUGCUGGGUAUUGCUGAUGUAUGCCUGUAAAAUUUAGUUUAAUAUGUUUGUUUUCCUUUUUGCUUCCUUUGGUGUACUGUGGCGAGCCUUUGGCUUGUAGUUUUUUUUUGGGUUAAUAAAAAAUGGUGUUUUGUUUGCCAAACACGGUGAGUAAUA